CAGUCGCCUCUUCACAUCUCGAUAUCGAAGGGACCAUCGAGAUACGGAGAGAUUGCGACAA
rnacentral:pre_miRNA from 1 species